rnacentral:rRNA from 1 species
CAGCCGCCGCGGGAAUACGAAGGGUGCAAGCGUUACUCGGAAUCACUGGGCGUAAAGCGUGUGUAGGUGGUUGUUUAAGUCUGUCGUGAAAGCCCUGGGCUCAACCUGGGAAUUGCGAUGGAUACUGGGCGACUAGAGUGCGGUAGAGGAUAGUGGAAUUUCCGGUGUAGCGGUGAAAUGCGUAGAGAUCGGGAGGAACAUCAGUGGCGAAGGCGGCCAUCUGGGACAACACUGACGCUGAGGCACGAAAGCGUGGGGAGCAAACAGGAUUAGAGACCCGUGUAGUCCCUGUCUCUUAUAC